GGGAGAAAGGAAAAGCGGCGGCUGCGGGGAGCGGAGCAGUACCAAAUCGCUGCAAGGAAUAGUUCAAGCCGGCAACCAGGGAAAGUGUUUGGAUGCUCAACGUAAGUAUGUUUGUGUGUUUGCUUGUGUUUGUCACAGUGCUAGUGACUGAGAAAGUACCCAAGAACUUGUGUUUGAUGUCUGGAAAGCAGUAGCUAGAUACGUUUGGAAUCAAUAAUAUGUGAUGUUCCUUUGCAAUAUCUGUGCAUAAUUAAUAUUCAGAUCAUCAGGAAUUAUUCAUGAAAUGGAAAUCAUGAAAGCCAAACUAGAUGUCACGGACUUUUUGGAAAUAAUUUGGGGGUUUGACUGGAAUAAGAAGGAAAUGCUGGCUGAAAGGAAUGAAAAAAAGCCAAAAGGGGACAAGAUGCGCUAAAGGUGGAUAAUGAAUCUAACUUCUCUUCCCUUCCAUUUUGGAGCUUUGAGAAAUUCUAUUCUUGCUGUUUUGUUAAAAGUUAGCUCUUCUGCACAUUAUUAGUGCUGUCUUCAUAAUGCUAAGUGGGAAAAGAGCAAACUACAUGAAAUGCCACUGUAGAGAAUUAGUAAUUAAAGCCAGAUAGAAUUUGUAAAGUGCUAUCCCUUUUUAAAUCCUCAACUAUGGGAGUUUAAAUCGCAUCCCACCAGAGUUGGAUGUUAAACUAUCCAGCCUCCAGGUUGGCAUCUGUGAAAUCUGCUCAGCGAGUGAGUCACCAGCCAGGAGUGGGGAGAUCAGUGCUACCAGGAGAGGGGAGGCCCACAAGGUGGCAAUGUUUAGAAAGCCUUCGCCAAGGAUGCGCUGGAACAGCCCUGUGCUUCCUGCGGUUGCCAUUCCUUGCUGCCGUUGGACCAUUGCUGCUGCAACCUUGCUAUUAAACAAGAAAUCUUCACUGUUGCCAAAAUGGACCAUAACAUACCUAGUAAUAAACCUCCUAUUUGAACAGAUUCCCUAUGGACAGUGCUCGCCGUUACCGUGCUGGGUACCGUAUGUGCCUCUUCCCUUGGCAAGGAAUGUGCUGCAGCAUCAGUGGUUUGCAAGACAGUGUGGGGUAUCUUUAUCCAUAGCUAGCGCUGAAAAUACGUGUAGUGCUUAAAAUACGUGUAGCACUGAAAUGAUGCUAAGGCUGUGUAAGGAAUAACUUCUGUUUUUAAACAUGCCAUGGCAUUUCUGCUAGUGCUUGAAAAUCUGUUACAGUGUAUAAAUGCUAACUUUGGAUUCAGGAGGCAUCUGGGUUUGCUGUGAUACUUUGUAGUUAAAAGUAAAAAGGGUUGUCUGAGCUAUUUUAAAGACUUUUUUUCACAGUGGAACUAGGGGUUUGCUCCAAGUUAUUUAAUGCCCUAGGGGAAAAAAAAGGGAGGGUGGGGAACCCACCUAAAUAUGUUUGCAGAAAGAUUUCUCUAGAUAUGUGGUAGACAUGAGAAAUUAUUCAGGGUAGGUUCCAUGGGAAAUACAAGAAUUGUCUGUGUUCACUGGCACAGACGCAUGUAAGAAGAGACUGACGCUGGGAGGGGGAGAGAUAGAUGAGGAGCCAGAGUUCAGAUUUAUCAGUGAGAGAUGAGUUACUUUCACAGCAAUUAGAAGAUAUGCAGGGCUCAAGUGUACCUGGAGAUUCUCAGAAGAAGAGUCUGUAAUUUAGAGCUGAAAGAGGCUUUUAUUGCCUCAAGGAUGAAGCAACAGCUCUAGACUACAGGAGGCAUCUAAGUGCAAGAACUAGGAAAAUGUAAGGUCCUCCCUCUCUGGACACACUCUUUGCUGUGAAGGUGUUGCAGAUGGAAGUGUAGGAGGGCAAUGCCCUGUGCUAAGCCACCGUGGGUUUCAACUAUCGCUUUCUACUCUUGCACAGAGUAGUUGCCGCUGCUUGAAGUCGGGCUUUGUCACUGUGGUUAUACUGGUGUUGUCAUGAGUACUUUGAAACAACAGGAAAUCUAAAGAAAACUGUGAGCACUGAGAUAGUGCACAGCCACCAAAUGGACAUUUAUAAAAGCAGACUGCAUCCUACCUGUCUAAUAGAAACUUAUCUGACAUGUGCAGACUUCCUGCAACGAGUAACCCUCUCUGUGAAGUAACAGACAGCUUUCCAGUGUAUUCCCUGUGGAUUGCUGCUUACUGUGUAGCUUUUCCUCUCCAAAUUCCUUAGUCCUUAUGGCCUAUUAUAUGUCAAAAUAAAGAUCUAGCUACCAACCUUCUAAUAUCAGAGGUUCAUUAUAUUGCUGGAGAAUUAGCUAAGCUAUUAAAAUUGCAAAAACCAAAUCCAUGUAGCAUGCUAUUAUAUACUAGUCUUCGCUUGGGAAACCUUCCAGGUUUCCAUGUCUUUGAGGCUGUCAAAUAGGUGUAUUUUUUCACGGAGUUGUUAUAUGGAGAACAGCAUGAAGGAUGGAUAUUGACGCAUCCAAGGAAUUUUAGAGUUCUUGCAUCAGGUGCCCUCGUGUGAGAUGCAGAUAAAGGGGCUUUUGGCAGUUACAAUUCCUUGUUUGGUGUAUUACCACUAAAAUAAUUGCAAUACACCCUAACAUUAGAAAGCAAGUCUGGUUUCUAGUGGAACAUUAAAUCAGGAAUCACCUGUUAUAUUUCAGCAAUUUUGAGAU
rnacentral:lncRNA from 1 species